CAGUAGCCGCGGGAAUACGAAGGGUGCAAGCGUUAAUCGGAAUUGCUGGGCGUAAAGCGUGCGCAGGCGGUUUUGUAAGACAGGCGUGAAAUCCCCGGGCUCAACUUGGGAAUGGCGCUUGUGACUGCAAAGCUAGAGUGCGGCAGAGGGGGAUGGAAUUCCGCGUGUAGCAGUGAAAUGCGUAGAUAUGCGGAGGAACACCGAUGGCGAAGGCAAUCCCCUGGGCCUGCACUGACGCUCAUGCACGAAAGCGUGGGGAGCAAGCAGGAUUAGAGACCCGCGUAGUCCCUGUCUCUUAUAC
rnacentral:rRNA from 1 species